rnacentral:rRNA from 1 species
GACUCCUACGGGAGGCAGCAGUAGGGAAUAUUGCUCAAUGGGGGAAACCCUGAAGCAGCAACGCCGCGUGGAGGAUGAAGGUUUUAGGAUUGUAAACUCCUUUUGUUAGAGAAGAUAAUGACGGUAUCUAACGAAUAAGCACCGGCUAACUCCGUGCCAGCAGCCGCGGUAAUACGGAGGGUGCAAGCGUUACUCGGAAUCACUGGGCGUAAAGAGCGCGUAGGCGGGAUAGUCAGUCAGGUGUGAAAUCCUAUGGCUUAACCAUAGAACUGCAUUUGAAACUACUAUUCUAGAGUGUGGGAGAGGUAGGUGGAAUUCUUGGUGUAGGGGUAAAAUCCGUAGAGAUCAAGAGGAAUACUCAUUGCGAAGGCGACCUGCUGGAACAUUACCUGACGCUGAUUGCCA